UACAGAGGGUGCGAGCGUUGUUCGGAAUUAUUGGGCGUAAAGGGCGCGUAGGCGGCGCCACAAGUCACUUGUGAAAACUCUGGGCUCAACCCAGAGCCUGCAGGCGAAACUGGUCAGCUGGAGGACGGUAGAGGCGAGUGGAAUUCCCGGUGUAGUGGUGAAAUGCGUAGAGAUCGGGAGGAACACCUGUGGCGAAGGCGGCUCGCUGGGCCGGUCCUGACGCUGAGACGCGCAAGGCGUGGGAGGCGAACGGG
rnacentral:rRNA from 1 species